rnacentral:rRNA from 1 species
CCUACGGGUGGCUGCAGUGGGGAAUAUUGCACAAUGGGCGCAAGCCUGAUGCAGCCAUGCCGCGUGUGUGAAGAAGGCCUUCGGGUUGUAAAGCACUUUCAGCGGGGAGGAAGGCGUUAAGGUUAAUAACCUUGGCGAUUGACGUCACCCGCAGAAGAAGCACCGGCUAACUCCGUGCCAGCAGCCGCGGUAAUACGGAGGGUGCAAGCGUUAAUCGGAAUUACUGGGCGUAAAGCGCACGCAGGCGGUCUGUCAAGUCGGAUGUGAAAUCCCCGGGCUCAACCUGGGAACUGCAUUCGAAACUGGCAGGCUAGAGUCUUGUAGAGGGGGGUAGAAUUCCAGGUGUAGCGGUGAAAUGCGUAGAGAUCUGGAGGAAUACCGGUGGCGAAGGCGGCCCCCUGGACAAAGACUGACGCUCAGGUGCGAAAGCGUGGGGAGCAAACAGGAUUAGAUACCCCAGUAGUC